AGGAAAAAUAUGAAAGUUGUUGAAAAAGAAACUCGUACUUGGAACAUGAUUUUUUUUUUUUUUAUCGCAGAUGGCAUAGCGGAGAUCUUCGAACGAAAUGAUUUUUUGCAAAAAAUCGAGUGCUUAACAUUUAUGUUGGGAAGGCGGGAAGAGUUUGGCUCUUGGCUGCGACGAUGUGGAAGGCAUCAAGAACCGCGCCGCCGUCUCUGCUGUUGGGCUUCUUGUGCAGGAGGUCACGACUUGCUGCUACUCCUUCCUUCCCCCCUUGCACUCAAUUUUUCAGCAGACCGACCCCAACCCGCAUUUGGUGCUGCUGUGCUCUCGGGUACCCGGCUUCUUUUGCCUGCCGGCUGUAUUCCACCACGUUCCCUGAGGCUCCGUCGACUUCCGGCGACGGCACGGCGAUCAAUGGCGUGCAUGACUCGAUCCAUGUGUACCCUUUAUCUUCUGAUGCCAAAAGAACUAUUGAAGUCCCGUAUGAGAACGGUGGAACAUUCGUAGAGGCAUUUCAUUGUUUCCUACAUUAGUCAGCAUCAUUUUCCAAAAGAAAACUGAACUAAUCGGCAAAUCACAAAAUCCAAUUCAGCAAAAGAUGCCAAAGAUCAGGAAUCAUGAUUAUAAAGGACGCAUGCAUCAAGUCAAUGGAGCAAAGUUGGCUGUGUUGAAUGUUAGUUGACUUUCUGAGCUAGUUAAUGUGUUGGUAUCUGUCUUCUCAAUGUGCCGUAGUCAACACGCGAUCGUAGACAUCCGAUGGCACGCAUACUGUGUGAAGAUUCCGAUGGAACUGUUUUUUUUUUGUCUAAAUUGAUACCAGAUAAAAAAGAAGUUGUUUUGAAAUGGUUCACCAGCAAUAAGGAUCUGGAGAAAUUCAAACCAUUUUUAACGGAUGUUCAUCAAUCGCUGUUCAGAUACUGAUACUACAGGAGUCUUCUCAUCCAGGAUGAUGAGCAAUUUACAUUUUCCAGAUAUGAUGAACAUUCACACUCGGGUAUCAGAUGAUCAUGCCAUUAGCUCAGUUUUCUAGAGCACUUUCUAGUGACACACUACACUUGAAGAAUUUCAUACUGUGCGUAGCAACCUUACCGGUCAGAUUUUCACUCAUGACUGUGUGGAAAGGAGCUACUCAGUUCAUUAAUAUGAAAGCACUGUGGUCUAUCUCAAAUCUACUGUACUGACAGUCUAGCAAAGCAUCGAGAGUCUGGGAUUAGACAGGGAACUGAAGAACCAGGUGCUGCAACUGAUAGGGUUUCAGCUACUGAUAAAACUCUACUCCAUGAGGUUUAAGUUCCUGAAGAGGACUUGAAGCCGAACGGGUAACCUCUUCAUUACGGCCAUUGGCCACAAAAGGGAGGAAGCCUUCAUCUAAGAACGCCAUGUUAGGAGAUUUCACCUACACAACAUACAUUUGGUAAAGCCCAAAAUAAGUUUGCAGAACGCUUUAGAUGUGUUCACACUUGCUGGCGUUCCUGUCUUUUCAGUCCACAUGGAAACGCGCACUUAGCUUUAUGUUGUGAGGAUAUAGUUUCCAUUUGUUUAUUGAGGAAUGCUUUGCAGCUUACAGCUAA